GCAAGUCAAACGAGCAGCUACGACUUGUCGGAGUGGGCGAGUGGCGCACGGGUGAGUAACGCGUAGGCAACCUGCCGUAGAGUGGGGAAUAACUCCGGGAAACCGGGGCUAAUACCGCAUACAGUACCGAAUCACAUGUUUUGGUAUGAAAGCCUUCGGGCGCUCUACGAUGGGCCUGCGUUGGAUUAGCUUGUUGGUAGGGUAACGGCCUACCAAGGCUGCGAUCCAUAGCUGGUCUGAGAGGAUGAUC
rnacentral:rRNA from 1 species